rnacentral:misc_RNA from 1 species
AUCUCCACUUCAUGCGUAUAUAUAGCUAACGUUUCCUGUAAUGUUUCGUUCAGCAAGAAUUAACAUUACGCAGAAAACGGAAGAAGAAAAGGAGAGGAAGAAGAAAACCAGUUGAAGGAUAAGCAAAUCGGAAAUUUUGUUACCUUUGGAAAACGAAAUCAAACGAGAUGGCAGGCCCCGUGGCGGUACACGUGCCCAACUCGCCGAUAUUUUCAUCGCCGAGAAUGUCUUCCAUCUUUUGCAAGCCAUGUCCGUCGCCUA